GCCAUGCCGCGUGUGUGAAGAAGGCCUUCGGGUUGUAAAGCACUUUCAGUCGUGAGGAAGGUGGUGUAGUUAAUAGCUGCAUCAUUUGACGUUAGCGACAGAAGAAGCACCGGCUAACUCCGUGCCAGCAGCCGCGGUAAUACGGAGGGUGCGAGCGUUAAUCGGAAUUACUGGGCGUAAAGCGCAUGCAGGUGGUUUGUUAAGUCAGAUGUGAAAGCCCGGGGCUCAACCUCGGAAUAGCAUUUGAAACUGGCAGACUAGAGUACUGUAGAGGGGGGUAGAAUUUCAGGUGUAGCGGUGAAAUGCGUAGAGAUCUGAAGGAAUACCGGUGGCGAAGGCGGCCCCCUGGACAGAUACUGACACUCAGAUGCGAAAGCGUGGGGAGCAAACAGGAUUAGAUACCCUGGUAGUCCACGCCGUAAACGAUGUCUACUUGGAGGUUGUGGCCUUGAGCCGUGGCUUUCGGAGCUAACGCGUUAAGUAGACCGCCU
rnacentral:rRNA from 1 species